UACAGAGGGUGCGAGCGUUAAUCGGAAUUACUGGGCGUAAAGCGCACGUAGUCGGCUUUGCAAGACAGAUGUGAAAUCCCCGGGCUCAACCUGGGAACUGCAUUUGUGACUGCAUAGCUAGAGUACGGUAGAGGGGGAUGGAAUUCCGCGUGUAGCAGUGAAAUGCGUAGAUAUGCGGAGGAACACCGAUGGCGAAGGCAAUCCCCUGGACCUGUACUGACGCUCAUGCACGAAAGCGUGGGGAGCAAACAGG
rnacentral:rRNA from 1 species